GACGAACGCUGGCGGCGUGCCUAAUACAUGCGAGUAGAACGCACAGUUUAUACCGUAGCUUGCUACACCAUAGACUGUGAGUUGCGAACGGGUGAGUAACGCGUAGGUAACCUGCCUGGUAGCGGGGGAUAACUAUUGGAAACGAUAGCUAAUACCGCAUAUAUUGAUUAUUGCAUGAUAAUUGAUUGAAAGAUGCUAUUGCAUCACUACCAGAUGGACCUGCGUUGUAUUAGCUAGUAGGUGAGGUAACGGCUCACCUAGGCGACGAUACAUAGCCGACCUGAGAGGGUGAUCGGCCACACUGGGACUGAGACACGGCCCAGACUCCUACGGGAGGCAGCAGUAGGGAAUCUUCGGCAAUGGACGAAAGUCUGACCGAGCAACGCCGCGUGAGUGAAGAAGGUUUUCGGAUCGUAAAGCUCUGUUGUAAGAGAAGAACGGGGGUGAGAGUGGAAAGUUCACACUGUGACGGUAUCUUACCAGAAAGGGACGGCUAACUACGUG
rnacentral:rRNA from 1 species